CUACGGGGUGCUCCAGUGGGGAAUAUUGCACAAUGGGGGGAACCCUGAUGCAGCAACGCCGCGUGGAGGAAGACGCAUUUCGGUGUGUAAACUCCUUUUAUAUAGGAAGAUAAUGACGGUACUAUAUGAAUAAGCACCGGCUAACUCCGUGCCAGCAGCCGCGGUAGUACGGAGGGUGCAAGCGUUACUCGGAAUCACUGGGCGUAAAGCGCACGCAGGCGGCUAAAUAAGUUGGAAGUGAAAUCCACUGGCUCAACCAGUGAACUGCUUCCAAAACUGUUUGGCUAGAGUCUGGGAGGGGAAGAUGGAAUUAGUGGUGUAGGGGUAAAAUCCGUAGAGAUCACUAGGAAUACCAAAAGCGAAGGCGAUCUUCUGGAACAGUACUGACGCUGAGGUGCGAAAGCGUGGGGAGCAAACAGGAUUAGAUACCCCUGUAGUC
rnacentral:rRNA from 1 species